AACCCCAACCCAGUUUAGAAUUAUCAAUUUUUAUCUUUCUCUUCCUCUCUUCUUUUUAUAUAUAUAUUUUUUCUAAUAUUCCCACUUCUUUCUUUACUUUUUGUUGAUUUGUUCUAUCAUAUCCCUAUUUACUCUUUUCUUUUUAUCUCCAUUUCUUUUAAUUUUUAAUUUUUAAUUUCUUUUUUCCAUUUCUCUUCCCCUCUCCCUUAUUUUUGAGUCACUCUCUCGUUAUCCAAUCAGUCUUCCAUUGAGAGUUUGCUUCAAGAAGAAAAAAAUGAUGGUCUCUUGGGUUGAAAAGGGAAAGGAUAACAAUAAUCUAAGAAAAUAGGAGAAAGAGAAAUGAAGGAUCACUACUUAUUUUGGGUUAGGUAUUAAAUUUUUUUCUUUGGGUUGGUUGGUUGGUCGAUAAAAAUUGGAGCAAAAAUCAUAUAAACCCCUUUACCGUUGUAUACGUUUCAGGGUUAGCAAUUCAAUAGCGGUUCUCCGAAUCAGUGUACUGGCUAGUUCCUGAGUUGACCAGUGGCUCUGCAUUUAGACC
rnacentral:lncRNA from 1 species